UAAGGGUGAUAGUUUUGGUUGGUUCAUCUGAAAACCAACUGGAUUGUUUGUGAGCUCGGAAAAACAAACGGUGUAAAGUUUUGGUUGGUUCAUCUGAAAACCAACUGGGUUGUUUGUGAGCCCGGAAAAACAAAUGGUGUAAAGUUUUUGGUUGGUUUGUCUAAAAACCAACUAGGUUGUUUGUGAUCCCGAAAAACAAAAGGUUUUCGGUUGGUUGCCUAGAAAAACUAACUGGAUUUUUGAUUGUGAGCCCGGAAAACAAUCAGGCUAUAAUCUGUUGGGUUAUAGUGAAAAUCUCAAGCUAGGCUUGAGGAGUGGACGUAGGUGCUGGGAGUGCACCGAACCACUAUAAACCUUGGUAUUUGUGAUUGCAGUUAUUCUCUUUUUUUCCUCUGCAUAUUCCUUACUGCAUUCCUAACUUUUAUUAACUGUCAUAUUUGUGCAAUCUCAUUUCCGCUGCUGAAUCUAUAAGAUAUUAGUAACUCAUACUCUCCAUACGUUUAAACAUUAAUAAUUUUUUUUUUAAGAGACCCAAUUCACCCUCCCUCUUGGGCUGCACCUCUGGGCAACAAGUGGUAUCAGAGCCUGAUACUCCAGAAACUUUUUGAUCUAACAAUCAAGAGUUAAAGGUCAUGGCAACCACUAUGGGAUCCUCUGUUUCCGAAGGGUAAUCUACCAAUAGACCACCUCUUUUCAAUGGCACAAAUUUUACUUAUUGGAAAGCUCGUAUGAGAAUUUUUAUUCAAGCACUUGACUAUGACUUAUGGACUGUUAUUAUUAAUGGACCUCACACA
rnacentral:lncRNA from 1 species